GGAGCCUGCGGCUUAAUUUGACUCAACACGGGGAAACUCACCAGGUCCAGACACAAUAAGGAUUGACAGAUUGAGAGCUCUUUCUUGAUUUUGUGGGUGGUGGUGCAUGGCCGUUCUUAGUUGGUGGAGUGAUUUGUCUGCUUAAUUGCGAUAACGAACGAGAUCUUAACCUACUAAAUAGUGCUGCUAGCUUUUGCUGGUAUAGUCACUUCUUAGAGGGACUAUCGAUUUCAAGUCGAUGGAAGUUUGAGGCAAUAACAGGUCUGUGAUGCCCUUAGACGUUCUGGGCCGCACGCGCGCUACACUGACGGAACCAGCGAGUUUAUACCUUGGCCGAGAGGUCUGGGAAAUCUUGUGAAACUCCGUCGUGCUGGGGAUAGAGCAUUGUAAUUAUUGCUCUUCAACGAGGAAUUCCUAGUAAGCGCAAGUCAUCAGCUUGCGUUGAUUACGUCCCUGCCCUUUGUACACACCGCCCGUCGCUACUACCGAUUGAAUGGCUA
rnacentral:rRNA from 1 species